AUACAAUGAGGUUUUAAAAUCGUAUUAGCGAUCUAAAUUAUUCUUUGCCUUCACACAACCUUGCAAUAGGUGCUCUCAACGAGGAAUGAUAGUAGUAUAAGUAACCAAUUUUAUUGUGUCAAAAGAAAAGGAAUAUUGUUAUUGUCCAUACACGACAAAAAUAAGACUAAAAAUUACAUGCAAUAAAAGGGACUCAACAACGAAAAACAUAACUGUGUUUUGCAAUUAGUUAACCCAAAAAAAUUGGAACUAGCUGAGAGAAGGAAUCUAUAACAAUGAGAUAAAUUAUAUUCUGGUUUUAACAUACAACUCGGAUAUGAAAUUGCAAAAGAAAUGUUUACAGCAAUAAAUGCAACCAUCAUAGUCUUUUUUUUGAACAACAACCAUCAUAGUGUUCUUAUCGUGACUUGCUAAUUCCAGAAUUUAAUACAAAAUGAGAUAUUCAACAACAAAAAUCAAGAAAUCAAACAAG
rnacentral:lncRNA from 1 species